AUACGGAGGGUGCAAGCGUUGUUCGGAAUCACUGGGCGUAAAGGGCGCGUAGGCGGCCUGAUUAGUCAGAUGUGAAAGCCCACGGCUUAACCGUGGAAGUGCAUUUGAAACUGUCAGGCUUGAGUAUCAGAGGGGAAAGUGGAAUUCCCGGUGUAGAGGUGAAAUUCGUAGAUAUCGGGAGGAAUACCGGUGGCGAAGGCGACUUUCUGGCUGAAUACUGACGCUGAGGCGCGAAAGCGUGGGGAGCGAACAGGAUUAGAAACCCUAGUAGUCC
rnacentral:rRNA from 1 species